AUUGAACGCUGGCGGCAUGCCUUACACAUGCAAGUCGAACGGUAACAGGUCUUCGGAUGCUGACGAGUGGCGAACGGGUGAGUAAUACAUCGGAACGUGCCUAGUAGUGGGGGAUAACUACUCGAAAGAGUGGCUAAUACCGCAUGAGAUCUACGGAUGAAAGCAGGGGAUCGCAAGACCUUGUGCUACUAGAGCGGCCGAUGGCAGAUUAGGUAGUUGUUGGGAUAGAAGCUUACCAAGCCGACGAUCUGUAGCUGGUCUGAGAGGACGAUCAGCCACACUGGGACUGGGACACGGCCCAGACUCCUACGGGAGGCAGCAGUGGGGAAUUUUGGACAAUGGGCGCAAGCCUGAUCCAGCAAUGCCGCGUGCAGGAUGAAGGCCUUCGGGUUGUAAACUGCUUUUGUACGGAACGAAAAGCCCUGGGUUAAUACCCUGGGGUCAUGACGGUACCGUAAGAAUAAGCACCGGCUAACUACGUGCCAGCCGCCGCCGUAAGAC
rnacentral:rRNA from 1 species